GUGGGGAAUAUUGCACAAUGGGCGAAAGCCUGAUGCAGCGACGCCGCGUGAGCGAUGAAGUAUUUCGGUACGUAAAGCUCUAUCCGCAGGGAAGAUAAUGACGGUACCUGACUAAGAAGCACCGGCUAAAUACGUGCCAGCAGCCGCGGUAAUACGUAUGGUGCAAGCGUUAUCCGGAUUUACUGGGUGUAAAGGGAGCGUAGGCGGCGUGGUAAGUCAGAAGUGAAAGCCCGGGGCUCAACCCCGGGACUGCGUUUGAAACUAUCAUGCUAGAGUGUCGGAGAGGUAAGUGGAAUUCCUGGUGUAGGGGUGAAAUGCGUAGAUAUUAGGAGGAACACCAGUGGCGAAGGCGGCUUACUGGACUGUAACUGACGCUGAGGCUCGAAAGCCAGGGGAGCGAACGGGAUUAGAUACCCGAGUAGUCC
rnacentral:rRNA from 1 species